GACGAACGCUGGCGGCGUGCUUAACACAUGCAAGUCGAACGGAAAGGCCCUGCUUUUGUGGGGUGCUCGAGUGGCGAACGGGUGAGUAACACGUGAGUAACCUGCCCUUGACUUUGGGAUAACUUCAGGAAACUGGGGCUAAUACCGGCUAGGAGCUCCUGCUGCAUGGUGGGGGUUGGAAAGUUUCGGCGGUUGGGGAUGGACUGGCGGCUUAUCAGCUUGUUGGUGGGGUAGUGGCUUACCAAGGCUUUGACGGGUAGCAGGCCUGAGAGGGUGACCGGCCACAUUGGGACUGAGAUACGGCCCAGACUCCUACGGGAGGCAGCAGUGGGGAAUAUUGCACAAUGGGCGGAAGCCUGAUGCAGCAACGCCGCGUGCGGGAUGGCGGCCUUCGGGUUGUAAACCGCUUUCGCCUGUGACGAAGCGUGAGUGACGGUAAUGGGUAAAGAAGCACCGGCUAACUACGUG
rnacentral:rRNA from 1 species